GCUUGAAAGACGUCUCUUUAAUUGUUUUCGACUCGCUCUGCUCGGAAAAAUUGACAAGAAUAAAAUCCUAAGAUUGAACGCGUUCGUUCAACAAUCUUAUAUUAAUUUUCUAAUUAUAUAUAUAUUAAUUUUCUCAUACACAUAAGUAUAACGAAAUCAGAGAUAUACCUUUUAAUUAGAUUAGUUCGUCUAAUUUACAAAUGUAG
rnacentral:lncRNA from 1 species